UACGGGGGAGCAAGCGUUGUUCGGAUUUACUGGGCGUAAAGGGCGCGUAGGCGGCCACUGCAAGUCGGUUGUGAAAUCUCCGGGCUUAACCCGGAAAGGUCAAUCGAUACUGCAGGGCUAGAGUGCGGAAGGGGCAACUGGAAUUCUCGGUGUAGCGGUGAAAUGCGUAGAUAUCGAGAGGAACACCUGCGGCGAAGGCGGGUUGCUGGGCCGACACUGACGCUGAAGUGCGAAAGCUAGGGGAGCGAACGGG
rnacentral:rRNA from 1 species